ncrna:unclassified sequences RAGATH-18 RNA
CCUCCGGAGCGUUAUACCAAACGUGAGUAGCCAGCAACACAGGCAAAAAACGGACGCGAAGAACGAGGAA